rnacentral:lncRNA from 1 species
GGACACUGCCCACAAGGGGCAUUGUGCCAUACAGUUGGGCAUAGCCCCGAAGUUAUGUUACUUUUCUGCCAGGAACUUGCCUACAAGGAGAACAUCAGAACAUUUCUGCCUCAGCAUAUAGGUUAUAUGGCUGUCAUGCCUUUCAUUACCACAGAGAACAUUGUGACAUCGUUGGACAUAGCAUCUAGGAAAUGUGACUCUUCUCUCCUGCCUAGGUCCUGCCCACUAAAGGAAUUGUGACAUACCACUGAGUGCAAAACCUAGCCCUGUCUACAGUGGACAUGGUACCACAUGACUUGAGGCUGUAUCCAGGUGAUGUGACUCUUCUGACUUGGCCCUGCCUGCAAAGGAAAUUAUAAUAUAUCCUGAGCUCAGAAUCCAGGCGAUGAGACUCUCCUGCCUCUUUUCUGCCCACAAGUGAAAUUGUGACUUAUACCUGCGUUCAGCUCACAUGCACAAAUAUAACUAUUAUACCUGGACCCAGAAAGGAGAGAUAUUUGGACUCUUAUAGCCAGUCCUAUGGCCAUAAGUAAAGUAAAGGGUCCCCUGUUUGUAUAAAGCUCACAGAGGAUUAUGACACUCAGGCACAUCAUAUAAAGCCUGAGUGGUACAAAGAGUGUCAUAGCAGGGAACAGCAACCAGGUGCGAUUGUGACUCUUGGAUGCUCACCCAGCUGACCCGAUUGUCAUUCUCUCACAAGAACAGGGCCUACAUACAA